rnacentral:misc_RNA from 1 species
AAGAAUGAAAGCACAAUUAAAAAGUGUUGAAUGGUCAAUAGUGACCCAACUAUCUGCCUGACUGCCAUAAUAUCUCUUUUCACAAUUACAAAUGAGGAGUAGAGAUUCCAAAAAAGUGCCCAUAUUUCCUUUUUCUAAUACAAUUAACUUUAAUUUUCUCCAAACAGCAUUCACAGACUGUAACCCUAACCCUUGUUGUUUGCAAUUGUG